rnacentral:misc_RNA from 1 species
UGGACUAAGAACUCUCGCCUGC